rnacentral:rRNA from 1 species
UACGAAGGGGCUAGCGUUGCUCGGAAUCACUGGGCGUAAAGGGUGCGUAGGCGGAUCUUUAAGUCAGGGGUGAAAUCCUGGAGCUCAACUCCAGAACUGCCUUUGAUACUGAAGAUCUUGAGUUCGGGAGAGGUGAGUGGAACUGCGAGUGUAGAGGUGAAAUUCGUAGAUAUUCGCAAGAACACCAGUGGCGAAGGCGGCUCACUGGCCCGAUACUGACGCUGAGGCACGAAAGCGAUGGGGAGCAAACAGG